GACGAACGCUGGCGGCGUGCCUAAUACAUGCAAGUAGGACGCAGUUGCGAACGGGUGAGUAACGCGUCGGUAACUGCCUAUUAGAGGGGGAUAACUAUUGGAACCGAUAGCUAAUACCGCAUACUAGUAGAUGGACCUGCGUUGUAUUAGCUAGUAGGUAGGGUAAUGGCCUACCUAGGCGACGAUACAUAGCCGAGCUGGGAGGGUGAGCGGCCAAACUGGGACUGAGACACGGCCCAGAAUCCUUCGGGAGGCAGCAGUAGGGAAACUUCGGCAAUGGGGGGAACCCUGAACGAGCAACGCCGCGGGAGUGAAGAAGGUUUUCGGAUCGUAAAGCUCUGUUGUUAAGGAAGCGGUACUUAACCAGAAAGGGACGGCUAACUACGUGCCAGCAGCCGCGGUAAUUC
rnacentral:rRNA from 1 species